rnacentral:ribozyme from 1 species
UUUUUUCCUUUCUCUUCUCUUCUCUUCUCUUCUCUUCUUCUUUUUCGGAAACACAUCAUGAGCUGCUGCUGUCUAGAGAGAUAGAAGAAGAAGCAGUACUUUUAGUUUGAUAUCAAUAGAGGGAGAGACAGAGACUUAUCGAAGUGAAAAGAAAGUGGGAGAAGGAAAGCGUUUGGACGUUUCGCUCUUUUUUUUUUUUUGGGUUUUUGGUUUUGGGGAGUCCUUGAGCGAGAAGGAUGAGAGGAGCUUUAGAGAAC